rnacentral:lncRNA from 1 species
UUCGGCCGCGCGCGGGCGGGGCCCUGGCAGCAACGAAAAUGGCGAGCCUCGUAGCCUUCCGGGCCCGGCGGCCACAUUCCGGGAGUCGCCAGGUGGGAGCCCGCCUUCCGUGUCCCCAAACGCCCAGAGCCCGGGACACGGGCCGGCGGCCGGGUCACCAAGCCAGUUCCCGGAAUCGGCUCGCGCCGGAAUCCAGACUCGGCUUGCAAAGCCCGCUCCUGCCGUCUCUCCGCAGCGCGCCCUGCCCCCCACUGCCGGCCCUCUUAGCUUCAAAACCAAAUUUUGCCUUUCAUCCUGAGAGAUUAAUACCCCGCAGGUGAAACCGUGGAGACGGAGCUGCGGUGGGUUUCUUUUCCACGCCUCAGUUUCCUCGUCUGUGAAAUGGGACCAGGCGCGCCUGUGCUUCUCCGGGAGUUUAUUGCAGGGCUGGCUGGAGAGAAUGGCUGGGUGGAAGCUGCCAGGAGGAGGCCCAAGGCCGCCCACCCCGUGGGCCUCGUUUGCUGAGCGGGGGUCAGAGGCGUGCGGGACAGGGCGCGCCCCACGGCGGCUCUGGAGGCGGCCCGGCCCGUCCCUGUCUCCUCCCCUCGCUCCCCCUCCCCCGGCCUUCCCGGAACUCUCCUCGCCCGCUGGGUGGAGGAGGGGCGAGGGCCGACUCCGCCGCCCCUGGGGUCUCCCUCCUCCCACCCCCACCGCAGAGUCUGGCCCGCCCUGGGCUUUCCUCUCAGGUCCCUUUGGGUCUCCAGAAGCCCGGAGGUUUCGCGCAGACUCGAACCUGAGAUGACACCACCCAGCACCCCAAAUCCUGCAGAGUGUGGAGGGGAUCUGGGGAGAAGGCAGGGGCUGCCCGGGCGCUCUGGCUGCUGGGGGUGGGGGACAGGGCCUGCCGGGGAAGCGGGUCGGGGGAGGACUGGAGACCCAGGCUCCCCUAGGUACAACGAACCUCGCGGGAGGGAAUACGCCAUCCCCGUACCCACUUCCGAGGACGUAGGUCUUUUGGCACCGGCGGCAGCCGCGUUCCCACACAUCUGGGCGGGGCCCCGCAGCAUGGCCUGGGGAGCUGAGGCUUCGGGAUCCGGCACAAACUACCAUUCUAGGUGUAGACGGAGGAGGUGGGGUGUGGGAAGCAGGGGGCCAUGGUCUGAGCAGACCUUCUCACCUCUGGGCCUCCCACCUCCUGGGGCAGGACUUACGGGGAAGGACCCGAGGGGAGUGGGGUGUCCAUAGGGACACCCAAGGGUCUAUCCCUGCGAGCUUUGCUUUCUACUAAACCAAUAAUCGCAGUGGUGGUGGCAGUCGAGACACGGCUCAAAGAGCCGGCAAGAAUAGAGCAGAGACCAGGAUCGCCCCAGGCAGGGAAAAAAUGACCAGUUCUGUAGAGUGACCCGAAGGUGAUGGAAUCACUCGGGCGUCCUCCUGGGAAAGAGCUGCCUGCUCCCCCGCCGCCGCCAGUACACCGGCGCCCAUGCCCCGGGGGCUGGAGAGAGCAGCCAGGCACAGCCCCUCCAGCUUCCUGGGAGUCCAAUUUCCCAAGGUAGAACGGUGGCGGCAGAGCCUGGCCCUGUGGUGGGGCAGCUGCACCCCGAUGAGUGGCUUGCAGUUCCUGGAGCCCUGCAGGUUGUUGGAGAGGCAGGGAGCCCUUCUCCCUCCUGCCUGCCCUCUUGCACUUCCUCUCCCAGAACCCAGCACUACUCCCAGAGGCUCUGAGCUGGAGCCCUAGAAGGAGGCGCUGCAAGGCUCCGUGCUCCUGGAGCUUCGAGUCUAUGGUAUGAGUUAAACAGAAGGGUAUCUCCUCCAUCAGAUCUACAGGAGGGUGUCUGCUCCAUCAGACCUGGAGCUUCCAAGGCAUUUUACCCGAAGCUCCAGCACCUGGCCCAAGGCUGGGCUGUGCUGUGUCCUCAGUGAAAGAAUGGAUGAGUCACAGCUGAAUGACUGAAGAGCUGAACCAAUGGGAAAACUGAUGCUCAGAGGCUUGAGCAACCUAGGCCAGGACCUGUCCUUAGAGGCAGAAGCAGGACUCAGAGGAAGAGCACCCUGACCACAAAGCCCCAGGGUCCAGAAAGACUCAGCCACUGGAGUCUGUAUUUCCUGAGUCGCCUCUCACUGCUGGAGCUGUUUAUCAUCGCUCCAACUUUCACUAAAAAGGAAAAACUAUCACUUAAACAAAGCCAUUGAAACCCCAGCAUCAUGUGUGGAUUUUUUAACAUAAAUAAAUCAUACAAACUAAGA